CCUACGGGAGGCAGCAGUAGGGAAUAUUGCUCAAUGGGCGAAACCCUGAAGCAGCAACGCCGCGUGGAGGAUGAAGGUUUUCGGAUUGUAAACUCCUUUUGUUAGAGAAGCUAAUGACGGUAUCUACCGACUAAGCACCGGCUAAAUCCGUGCCAGGAGCCGCGGGAAUACGGAGGGUGCAAGCGUUACUCGGAAUCACUGGGCGUAAAGGGCGCGUAGGCGGGAUAGCAAGUCAGAUGGGAAAUCCUAGGGCUUAACCAUAGAACUGCAUUUGAAACUGUUAUUCUAGAGUAUGGGAGAGGUAGGUGGAAUUCGUGGUGUAGGGGUGAAAUGCAUAGAGAUCAAGAGGAAUACUCAUUGCGAAGGCGACCUGCUAGAACAUAACUGACGCUGAGGCACGAAAGCGUGGGGAGCGAACAGGAUUAGAUACCCGUGUAGUC
rnacentral:rRNA from 1 species